rnacentral:rRNA from 1 species
CAGCCGCCGCGGUAAUACGUAGGGUGCAAGCGUUAAUCGGAAUUACUGGGCGUAAAGCGUGCGCAGGCGGUUCGCUAAGACAGAUGUGAAAUCCCCGGGCUUAACCUGGGAACUGCAUUUGUGACUGGCGAGCUAGAGUAUGGCAGAGGGGGGUAGAAUUCCACGUGUAGCAGUGAAAUGCGUAGAGAUGUGGAGGAAUACCGAUGGCGAAGGCAGCCCCCUGGGCCAAUACUGACGCUCAUGCACGAAAGCGUGGGGAGCAAACAGGAUUAGAUACCCCGGUAGUCCCUGUCUCUUAUAA